UACGUAGGGGGCAAGCGUUGUCCGGAUUUAUUGGGCGUAAAGAGCGUGUAGGCGGUUUGGUAGGUCCGCUGUGAAAACUCGAGGCUCAACCUCGAGACGCCGGUGGAAACCAUCAGACUAGAGUCCGGAAGAGGAGAGUGGAAUUCCUGGUGUAGCGGUGAAAUGCGCAGAUAUCAGGAAGAACACCAAUGGCGAAGGCAGAUCUCUGGGCCGUAACUGACGCUGAGGAGCGAAAGCGUGGGGAGCGAACAGG
rnacentral:rRNA from 1 species